GGGAAGUGGAGGGGGAGGGUCGAAAAGAGACAAAAAACAACAUUGAACUCAAGAUGGAAAAAAGACAGUAUUAGAGGAGGUUGCAGGAGCCCUGCUUCAGCCAGCUCAGGAGGAAAGUGAUCCAGAGAGAGGCCAUGUAAAGAGGGAAAUGUCCUCGCACUCAAACACAACCACCACGCAGCGCAGUUCCAUAGCCCCGCGGAGAGACAGGACAUUUUUCUGGAGCUGCUGGAGAGAACAGUCAGAGAAGCCUGGGGAGGAAGAGUUGAUGCCUUCUGGAGUUUCUUGUGGCGGGUGGUGGGUGGUGGGGGGAGCCCUUUCCGGGUGUCAACUUUUUCUUUCCUCUCUUCCCCCAGCUCCUGUUUUCAUCCUUACCAAUGAGAAUUCAGCUAAUUGUUUACUCCAGGCUUGUGCCUGUCACCAACUAACCCAGGAGGCCCUCAGAGCCAAGCCCUGCCCUUUGCCUCAUUCUUUGUAACUGGACACCUGCAAGAGUGCUGGGCACACAGUAGGUGCUCCAUAAAUGCUACUCAAAUGGAUAAGUAGGAUAAAUAAAUGCAGAGUUUGGUAGUUCAAGGUUGGGCGCAGUGGCUCACGCCUGUAAUCUCAGCACUUUGGGAGGCCAAGGCAGGCAGAUCGCCUGAGGUCAGGAGUUUGAGACCAGCCUGGCCAACAUGGUGAACCCCCCACUCUACUAAAAAUGCAAAAGUUAGCGGGUGUGGUGGGCACCUGUAAUCCCAGCUAUUUAGGAGGCUGAGGCAGGAGAAUCGCUUGAACCCGGGAGACGGAGGUUUCAGUGAGCCAGACUGCACCAUUGCACUCCAGCCUGGGCAACAAGAGUAAAACUCUGUCUCAAAAAAAAAAAGAAAAGAAAAAAGAGUUUGAUAGUGCAGAAGUGUGGCCUAUUGCCUGAGGCCCACAGGUGGUGCAGUGGGACCCAGGAAGGGUGAGAGAGAGACAGGAGCUUCCCCAUCC
rnacentral:lncRNA from 10 species